UUGUGGAGGAGGACGCCGAAGGUGGGGCUAAUGACUGGGGUGAAGUCGUAACAAGGUAGCCGUACCGGAAGGUGCGGCUGGAUCACCUCCUAACAGGGAGACAACAAAAUGUUUAAUAUUAUUAUUUUGUCACCUUAGGUCGAUCGGUAUCUCACGUUUUUAAUUUAUUAAGAAUUUCAUUUCCUAAGUUUUUCUAGGUCACACCCAUUAUUUUUCCUGGGCCAUUAGCUCAGGUGGUUAGAGCGCACCCCUGAUAAGGGUGAGGUCCCUGGUUCAAGUCCAGGAUGGCCCAUAUCUCUAUGUUGGGGGUAUAGCUCAGUUGGUAGAGCGCCUGCUUUGCAAGCAGGAUGUCAGCGGUUCGAGUCCGCUUACCUCCACUGAUUACCACCUCUUCCAUAAUCGGUAGAAAGGAGAAUGUUUUGAGUAGUGAUCAAAUUCUGAAAGAAUCUAGCUUCCUAAUGGAAUUAUUAAGAUGCUGGACUCAUUGAAUUAAUUUCAUUGUUUUCAGAGAACCUUGACAACUGCAUAGAUUAUUUUAAAGACAAUAAGCAUCUUUAAUGAUGCAGAUUUAUUAUUUGUGCGAAUGCAUUAAUAACAAUUCUAUUAAGCUGAUGCUUCAAUUUUGAAGUUAUUGGUCAAGCUACAA
rnacentral:misc_RNA from 1 species